rnacentral:rRNA from 1 species
GGGGAAUAUUGCACAAUGGGCGAAAGCCUGAUGCAGCAACGCCGCGUGAGUGAUGAAGGUCUUCGGAUUGUAAAGCUCUGUCUUUUGGGACGAUAAUGACGGUACCAAAGGAGGAAGCCACGGCUAACUACGUGCCAGCAGCCGCGGUAAUACGUAGGUGGCGAGCGUUGUCCGGAUUUACUGGGCGUAAAGGGUGCGUAGGCGGAUGUUUAAGUGAGAUGUGAAAUACCCGGGCUUAACUUGGGUGCUGCAUUUCAAACUGGAUAUCUAGAGUGCAGGAGAGGAGAAUGGAAUUCCUAGUGUAGCGGUGAAAUGCGUAGAGAUUAGGAAGAACACCAGUGGCGAAGGCGAUUCUCUGGACUGUAACUGACGCUGAGGCACGAAAGCGUGGGUAGCAAACAGGAUUAGAUACC